GAUGAAGAACGUAGCGAAAUGCGAUACGUAAUGUGAAUUGCAGAAUUCAGUGAAUCAUCGAAUCUUUGAACGCAUAUUGCGCUCUCUGGUAUUCCGGAGAGCAUGCUUGUUUGAGUAUCAGUAAACACCUCAACUUCCAUAUCUUUUUUUGAAAUGGGAGUUGGACUUGAGUGAUCCCAACGCUUUUCCUCACCGAAAAGUGGCGGGUUACUUGAAAUGCAGGUGCAGCUGGACUUUUCUCUGAGCUAAAGCAUAUCUAUUUAGUCUGCCUAAAAAACAGAUUAUUACCUUUGCUGCAGCUAACAUAAAGGAGAUUAGUUCUUGUGCUGACUGAUGCAGGAUUCACAAAGACAGCUUCGGCCGACUUUGUAAACUCGAUCUCAAAUCAAGUAAGACUACCCGCUGAACUUAAGCAUAUCAAUAACGGAGGA
rnacentral:misc_RNA from 1 species